CACCACUCAAGCACUGCUUGGUAUUGGGCGUCUCGUCCCUUCGGGGGCGCGCCUCAAAGACCUCGGCGAGGCCUCACCGGCUUUAGGCGUAGUAGAAUUUAUUCGAACGUCUGUCAAAGGAGAGGACUUCUGCCGACUGAAGCCUUUAUUUUUUCUAA
rnacentral:misc_RNA from 1 species